AUAUUAAUGAAAAUAAUAAAAUAUAUCUGUAAAGAAUGUUAUAGAAUGUUUUAUUAUAUUUAUUACCAAGUCAAAAUGCAAAAAUUACUUUUCAUUCACAGUAACUUUAUGCUAUAUCUUGUAGUACGUUAGAAAUUACUUUAAGUUUGUAGUUAAACGUUCCAAUUUCAUGUUAAUUACCUUGCUAGACACAAUUGGAACAAGUGAAGAUAUAUCAUUACAAAAAUAGGAAUUACAAUGGCAGGUUUUAUAAAAUUAGUAAAAAAUGUUUAUUAUGAUCCUUUUAAGUGGUCAGUAGUUAAAAGCAUUGGAUUAUUUGUAUUAGGUGUAAAGAUUGCUGUUGAAUGUAAAGGAAUGAAUGUAAUGCCACCAAUUUCUUAGAAAUUAAAAUGUGGAGCUAAAAAAAAA